UGGGGAAUAUUGGACAAUGGGCGCAAGCCUGAUCCAGCAAUGCCGCGUGGGUGAAGAAGGCCUGCGGGUUGUAAAGCCCUUUAGGUGGGGAAGAAAGGGGCACAACGAAUACUCGUGUUUCUUGACAUUACCCACGGAAUAAGCACCGGCUAACUCCGUGCCAGCAGCCGCGGUAAUACGGAGGGUGCGAGCGUUAAUCGGAAUUACUGGGCGUAAAGCGUGCGUAGGCGGUCGCGUUAGUCAGCCGUGAAAGCCCUGGGCUUAACCUGGGAAUGGCGGUUGAAACGGCGCGACUCGAGUGGGUUAGAGGGCUGUGGAACUCCCGGUGUAGCGGUGAAAUGCGUAGAGAUCGGGAAGAACACCGAUGGCGAAGGCAGCAGCCUGGGGCCACACUGACGCUGAGGCACGAAAGCGUGGGGAGCAAACAGG
rnacentral:rRNA from 1 species